GUCAAAACUACACUUGGCAAAAUCAGCACUGAGCCACUAUUUGACAUGAAUGAAGAUGAUUUUGAUGAAAUAAUUAUUUCACCCCAUACUUCCUUAUUCAAAAUUUAUCAUGUGAAACUUUGAAGUGAAGCUCCUUCCUUCCUUCCUCUCUUCCCUUCUUUCCCCUCCUUUCCCUUCCUUUCCUCUUUUCAAUGAGAAGAAGGAAAAAUCACUCUUGAGGAAAAUCUAAAAAAGAAAAGCCCACUUUGGAUUAAGAAGUCAGUAUAUACCUGGACCAUGAGCUUUUUUGACUGGGAAGUCUAUCUGAUGGAUAUUCUCAUUUCUUUAGACUCAUUUUUGCUGCAAAGCUGUAAAACUGGGAAAAAUAUUCAAACACAGUAAAAACUGACUGAAAUUAUAAGUAAUAGUUUACUCAUGAAAAUCCAGUAGGCCUUUGAAUUAGAAUGGACUGCAUUGUUCAGGUGGACAGUUUCUUCUUUACAUAUCAUUGGGCAGAGUCUUAGCACUGGAGUGUCCAUAAUGUUUGUUAAAGUUGUCAUCAGUAUUGCCUUUUGUUAGUUAAGAG
ensembl:lncRNA